CCAUGGUUAGGUAACUCGGUUUGUAACACUGCAAUCUGAGUGGAAAUAGUAAUUGUCUUUGCCUGAUCCUGGCCUUCAAACAUCGGUCUUGUGGUCUUCUCCCCUUCUUCCUCCUGCUUCACAGACAAGUUUUGAAGCUGUCAAGGAUAAAGCAUGUCAAUCAGUGAGAAGUAAUGCACCUUUAGUUAAAAUCACCCCAGCAAAAAUGUCACAGAUGUCCCAUCAGCUCUCAAACAUUAAAGAGGUCAUCCUAAUGGAUAUGGGGAAGUAUUGCACAUUGGGGAACAAGACAGCCACGGUAUUGACGAGUUUGAAUCGCUGUGUCUGCACACAUGGCCAACAGACCCUCGAGGAAGUGAAGACGGCACUGAACACAGUGAACUCCGUCCUGUUCUGCAGAAGACGGCACAGAACCACAGUUAAACAGUGAGAGAGAGAGAGAGAGAGAGAGAGAGAGAGAGACAGAAAGGUCUUCCUUCCAUUGGUUCACCCCCCAAAUGGCUGCUACGGCCAGUGCGCUGCGCUGAUCCGAAGCCAGGAGCCAAGUGCUUCCUCCUGGUCUCCUAUGCAGGUGCAGGGCCCAAGCACUUGGGUCAUCCUGCAUUGCACUCCCGGGCCACAGCAGAGUGCUAGACUGGAAGAGGAGCAACUGGGACAGAACCGGCGCCCCAACUGGGACUAGCAUCUGGAGUACUGGUGCUGCAGGCGGAGGAUUAGCCUAGUGAGCCGCGGCACCAGCCGACAAUGUUUCUAAUUAGAAUAACAGAAAUUAAUAUUUGGUCAAAGAGACAGGAAAAACUUUGCGUGGUUUUCUGAGAAUUGAUUUUAUAGACAAACUUCAGUGAUCCUGUGUCACUCAGAAAGAGGUACAUUCCACCAACAAAUUCUUGGUAUCUCAAUGGCUUAAAAUAACAAAGGGUAUUUCUUUUCCUAAUCCCUACCAUGUUUAAUCAGCUGGGGACUACGAACCUUACAUCCUGCAAAAAUGAAAUGAAACCCAUAGGAGCUUAUAUCAUUUGGGCCUCAGCUUUUUCUAAAGUAGGGGAAUAGAAUUCCACAAUUCAAAAUUAUUCUAUCCAGGCUUCUGCUCAGAGUUUACUGGCUAAAGCAAGCAACACAACCAGGUUUAAUCUAGAGAUAGGGCUAUUGUCAUCCUCCUAGAAGUAUGAAAAAAAAACAAUAGUGGUAAGUAUUAUAGAAUAUAAAUAUUAUUAUCAUUUUCUUGCCAAAGGCAUAGUAAAUAAAUGCAUAAUAAUAUGACAGUGUAAGUAUAGUUCUAAAUUCAAAUGUGUGUAGAUGAUAGGGCCUUCAAAGAAGUCAUGGAAAAUGCAUAUUACGGAAAUCCUAUG